UGCCUAAACCCAUAGGGAUUCCUAUGGACAUGGCAGAAAAAUCGCAAUCAACAUAUUGAGCUCGUCAUUCAGUACGUUGAUUGCGUUGCAGGUCGAAAGGCUUGCAGGCCUCUCCGGAGGUC
rnacentral:sRNA from 1 species